UACCGAGCGUAGAGAGGCGACGGGAUGAGUGUGUAGAAGUCAGCCGAGGCCGUAGUAAGUGGCGAUUAACCGCGCCAUCAAGGGC
rfam:Pseudomonas putida GB-1, complete genome.